ACGAACGCUGGCGGCGUGCUUAACCCAUGCCAGUCGAACGGAAAGGCCUCUUUCGGGGGGUACUCGAGUGGCGAACGGGUGAGUAACACGUGAGUAACCUGCCCUUGACUUUGGGAUAACUUCAGGAAACUGGGGCUAAUACCGGAUAGGAGCUCCUGCUGCAUGGUGGGGGUUGGAAAGUUUCGGCGGUUGGGGAUGGACUCGCGGCUUAUCAGCUUGUUGGUGGGGUAGUGGCUUACCAAGGCUUUGACGGGUAGCCGGCCUGAGAGGGUGACCGGCCACAUUGGGACUGAGAUACGGCCCAGACUCCUACGGGAGGCAGCAGUGGGGAAUAUUGCACAAUGGGUGGAAGCCUGAUGCAGCAACGCCGUGUGCGGGAUGACGGCCUUCGGGUUGUAAACCGCUUUCGCUCAUGACGAAGCUUUGUGUGACGGUAGUGGGUAAAGAAGCACCGGCUAACUACGUG
rnacentral:rRNA from 1 species